AAAGCUAGAAGGAAGCAAAUGGAGAUGGUCCCUUAAAGUGCUAUGAUGCGAAAAUUGGUGGGAAUGAAGGUCCAAGGUGGCACAAAUGGUGGUGUGAUGUUUGGUGGCUCAAAGAGAGGUCAGGCCAACUCAAUGAGGAAGGUGACUACGCUGGCCUCAUGGGUUGCUCUAGUCUUGAUUUAGGAGAAGUAUUAUGGCCAAAUUUGGGAAGCAUAACAUAAUGAAUCGACAAGUGUACCAAAUCGUAUCAAGUAAUAUAAAAUGGUAAGACUAAGUAUCGUUUCCCAAGAGAAGAGGAGAGCUCUCACAUCCCCAAAUCUGCCUCCAAAGGCGUGAAAAACGUGUUGUUAUGCUCAAAUCAUCAAAAGAUACAAACCCUAGGGUGUCUGAGUCUUAAAUAGAUCAUAAAAAUAAUAGAAAACAGGUGCAAGCCCACGUCGCCAGCCCUUAGCAUCCCAACUUAGGGCGCCUAGGCGUGAAACAACGAGUUUGGCGCUCAGCGCCCCUGAAAGGGCGCCCAGGUGUGCUACGGUGCAAAUUCUGGCACUCAGUGCCCCUAGAAUGGCGCUCAGUGCUACUUUUUCUGGGUUCGACCACUUAGCGGUACAAACUGGUGCUCAGCACCAGUGGCAACAUUCCAACACUCUCUUUUUUGCUGCUUUAUUCGUCCCUUUUGAGUUCCAACUCCUUGAUACUUUUGCUCUUUUUCCAAAUCAUAUCAAUAACCUACAAAAUUAAGGAAAUUUAGUGAUAAAAUCAUUAAUUAUAACCUCUACGCACUUAUUUACAAAACUAAAGCAAAAACAUGAGUUGAAGCAAGUUCCUAAGUCAAAAAGAAUGCAUUUAGUAUCAGAAUUGAAUAACAGAUAACGGUAAUUUCAACUGUUAUCACAUAACAUUACAUAACAUCCAAGAUGAUUACAAGAGAGGAGACACCUUUAUGUAUAGGUAAGGGUGUCUCCUAAAAAGCCUAAAAACAUGAUUUUCCACCUUUGCACUCAUUGGUCGAAAAUGAGGCCUUCUAAGGAGUGGACAAGUGUCCACAAAUAAUUUCCAAUGAGGGGAUGACAUGUGACCACUCACAAAACACAAUCAUUUCCAUUCCUAGAGUGUCAUGUGACCACUAUUAAAAGCAAAUCCUCUCUAAUGGAAGUAUGACAUGUGAUACAUACUUUCCACAUGGUUUGGAUGUCCAACUCAAGAAAAAAACCAUUCACUAACUAGGCCUUAAUACAAGUCUUAAAAAAUUGUAACUACUUGGUCGAAAUACAUGGUCUAAAGAAACCUACAUUACUUGGCCGAAUACAUGGCCUAAAUAAACCUACAUUACUCUUCAAUCUCCAUGAUGGCCUAUGAGAAAGAGCUUGCAUCACCUUGCAUAUAUGAUUCUAGUUUUUUCUUGAAAGUGCUUAGGUCAUGGCUAGGGGUAUUCCAUCACAAUCAUCUUACACAUCUUUGCAAAUGCUGGAUUUCUAAUUACAUUAAAAGGAAUGACACUAGUGUAAAAGAUUUCAGCCACUUAAGCAUCAACUUCUUUGUAUCUUUUUUCAUCAUUUGAUUUAUAGUUGUUUGGACUCCCCCUUUGCUAGUAGUAGCAACCUUUUAUUUUCCUUUAAAAUUGAAUACCCUAUGUCCUCCUUCAACAUUCACUUUUUUCAUGGUCUUCAUUAAUGACAUUUAACUUUCUUUUCAUUGAGGAAACAUUCUUAGCUUCUGCAACUAUUUGUAUCAUCAAAUUUUUUAUUUUAUUCGAAACUGAAGCACAAGGUUUAGAAUGAAACUAUUUUUAUCAUCAAAUUUUUUAUUCUAUCCGAAACUGAAGCACAAGAUUCAGAAUCCUCCUUGGUUCUAGGAAGAUGAUGUUUAAAUCUAAAUAUGCCUCCACUCUCAAUCUUUGAACAAUAGUUACAUUUGACUUUUCUUUCAUUACCAUUAAUAUCAAAUCCAUGUUUUCGUCCAAUAUUAGACCAAAUCCCGAAGCUUUUUUACUUUUACUUUUAAUUGAUGAAGAUGUACAUGGAUUAUCAUCCAUUGAAUUUGAUGUGUUUCCAAACAUAAUGAGAUAAGCUUUUUCACUACAAACAUAAAAAGAAAACAGUGCAGCAGAGGUAUGAACAGUGCAACACUUUAUUUUUUCAAAAAAUAAAAUCACUUACAACAUGGGAAGGGAACAAAGUCUGUGAGGCACAGGAAAAUGGGAUAAGCUUUUUCACUACAAACAUAAAAAGAAAACAGUGCAGCAGAGGUAUGAGCAGUUCAACACUUUAUUUUUUCAAAAAAUAAAAUCACUUACAACAUGGGAAGCGAACAAAGUCUC
rnacentral:lncRNA from 1 species